UACGAAGGUGACAAGCGUUGUUCGGAAUCAUUGGGCGUAAAGCGCACGUAGGCGGGUUUGAAAGUCGAUUGUGAAAACCCUGGGCUCAACCCGGGACCUGCAGUCGAAACUCCAAGUCUUGAAUGCUCGAGAGGAUGGUGGAAUUCCAGGAGUAGAAGUGAAAUUCGUAGAUAUCUGGAGGAACACCGGAGGCGAAAGCGGCCAUCUGGCGAGACAUUGACGCUAAGGUGCGAAAGCGUGGGGAUCAAACAGG
rnacentral:rRNA from 1 species